CGCUGGCGGCGUGCCUAAUACAUGCAAGUCGAACGGUCUUUCUAUGGAAGCUUGCUUCCACUGAGAAGAUAGUGGCGAACGGGUGAGUAACACGUGGGUAACCUGCCCAUAAGAGGGGGAUAACAUCCGGAAACGGGUGCUAAUACCGCAUAGUUUUCUUGAUCGCAUGAUUGAGAAAGGAAAGACGGCCUUUGUGCUGUCGCUUAUGGAUGGACCCGCGGCGUAUUAGUUAGUUGGUGAGGUAACGGCUCACCAAGACGAUGAUACGUAGCCGACCUGAGAGGGUGAUCGGCCACAUUGGGACUGAGACACGGCCCAAACUCCUACGGGAGGCAGCAGUAGGGAAUCUUCCGCAAUGGACGAAAGUCUGACGGAGCAACGCCGCGUGAGUGAAGAAAGGUUUUCGGAUCGUAAAACUCUGUUGUCAGAGAAGAACAAGUUGGAGAGUAACUGCUCCAGCCUUGACGGUAUCUGACCAGAAAGCCACGGCUAACUACGUGCCAGCCGCGGC
rnacentral:rRNA from 1 species